GACGAACGCUGGCGGCGUGCUUAACACAUGCAAGUCGAACGGAAAGGCCCUGCUUGUGUGGGGUUCUCGAGUGGCGAACGGGUGAGUAACACGUGAGUAACCUGCCCUUGACUUUGGGAUAACUUCAGGAAACUGGGGCUAAUACCGGAUAGGAUCUCCUGCUGCAUGGUGGGGGUUGGAAAGUUUCGGCGGUUGGGGAUGGACUCGCGGCUUAUCAGCUUGUUGGUGGGGUAGUGGCUGACCAAGGCUUUGACGGGUAGCCGGCCUGAGAGGGUGACCGGCCACAUUGGGACUGAGAUACGGAGCAGAGUGCUACGGGAGGCAGCAGUGGGGAAUAUUGCCCAAUGGGCGGAAGCCUGAUGCAGAAACGCCGCGUGCGGGAUGACGGCCUUCGGGUUGUAAAACGCUUUCGCCUGUGACGAAGCGUGAGUGACGGUAAUGGGUAAAGAAGCACCGGCUAACUACGUG
rnacentral:rRNA from 1 species